GAAUUUUCAACUAACUAUUUUUCCAAUCUAGGUUUAAUUUUCAAUAAUAUGUGGCGAGCGGAAGAAAGAAAAUUAAGCUAGUUGAGUUCAACAGUACUUUACAUGGCGGGAAAUACAAACGGUGUUUCAAAGAGAAUCAAUUGAGGUUCUCCUGCUAGCUUGAUGGUUCCGAAUUCCAUCUUGUCUGCGUCGAAAUUACAGAACUGAGAUGUAGAGAUUUCGUCUACUCGCAACCGAACCGGAGCUGUGACGCUGCUGAAAACCUCUGAAUUCGUUAGUUUUUCAUCGAAGGGUGGUGUGUGUACUACGAAGCUGGAUAUUGUCGAUCUGGAAAUAGGGUUUGGCGGUGGAGCUUGUGGUUUCUGAAAGUGUGAAGAGUCGGUGCUCAGUUGGCGAAAAAGGUGAGGGGAGUGGGAAGCGGCAGAAAGUCGAAGGGACUUCUUUAGCUUGUUUUUGUACUUAGUACAAGGAAUCGGAAAAAACAUGGUUCUGAUGUGAAAUUGGGGAUUGAGACUUGAGAGUUCAGAUAAGAAUCCUGAUGUGAAUAUAGUUUCGGAAGUUUCACCGGAUUUGGAUGAUGGCGGUUUCAUUCCCCGAAGACAGUGAGAAUAUUGAGGUUGGUUUGGGGUUUGGUUGUGAUAUGAUUGAUUCCCCGAAGGAGACACUGGAUAAUGGCCCAUGCAAGAGGAAAUUAAGCAUGGAUAUGAAAGCUUUGGGGUCUGUAUCAUCUGAAAAGGAUAAGCCGGAGAGGCUUCUUGAGCCUCGAGGUCAGGCAAGAGCGUUCCAUACAGAGAAAUAAACAACAUUCAUAUUGCUGGUGAUUCAGCUUGGUAAAGAUUAAAGAAGGUGGUGCAGAUUGUGGUGGUGAUGUACCUGUGAAGAGUGUAUCAGAGAUUCAGAGGCUAAAACUGAUAACAAUGACUAGACAGAAACUUCAUGUAGAGCAUCCCCCUUUGAGGCACGAGAUCCGUCGGUUUGUUUGUAUAAUCAAAACAUGGAUGGUCUCUGAGGAUCAAUUUUCCAAGAGUUUUUGGGGGUUGCAACUCUAACAAGUUAAUAGUGCAAUUUGAGCUACAUUACGCCUCUUCUUCUCAUGUGUAGUUUCCUGUUGGUUCUAUAUUUAUUGGGAAUCAAUAUGAAGAGAUAGUAUGAUUGUAUUUUAUGUUUUGGCAUUCUGAAGCAUGUGCCUUCUUUUGCAUGUACCAUUGAGUCAGUUGUCUUUUUUAUUGAUCUUACCUUACCAAGUAUUGGAACUGGAAACUGAUAGCUGAGAUCUCCUAUUUUAUGUAUGGCAGUGAUGAAGCUGCAUAUCAAUCGAGCAUCUCUCAAGUGCUCGUCGCUUGAUCAUAGUAUCCAGAUAUUGGCUUUUUUGAUUUGAGUCAUACAAAACCUGGAAAAGUAGAUAGUAUUGGAGCUUUGGCUAACACUCCCAACUUACAGACUUAAGGGGUAAAAUACGAAAACAAGAAAAGAAAGGUGACGUAUAAUAGUCUUGUUCAAGCAGCCUCUCCAACAAGCAGCCUUCAGAUAUCACAUCGCUCGUUCCCGGAUCCAUCGUUGUCUGCAUAAUCGCUUCAUUCUCCCAUUCUCUGCUAAAAUAACGACCAGGGGCAAAGAUAUGAGCAAUGCAACCGUAAAUAGGGUCCUCCAUGCGCGCCAGCGCUUCGUAAGAUACAGUUAUGGCAGCGUCGCUUCUGCUAUGCUCCGGCAGAUGAGACAGAAGCUUCGACACGUUGCUGGCUCCGAACACCUUAUGGACUGCUGCAAAGUGGUUUGCUGCUUGCUCGUAACUGAAAUAAGUUAUAUAAGAGAGAGAGAGAGGCUCUAGGAGCAGGGGAAUGCCGAAAGUGUUGAAGUGAAAAAAAUUGAAGCUUUCCGUCUUGUCCACUUUCGAGCUUAACGAUGAAAGUGUCUUUCUCUAUCACUCGUUAAUUAAUUCUAUAUUAUCUCUCUGCCUAUUUGCGGAUUUCUGCCUUUCAAAUUUUGGUUAUACGUAUGUUGUUUGUAGUGAGAAUUUGUAGAAUUGUAUUCAUAUCUUUGGUUCUUGAAGCAUAGUA